CACUUCUCGAGUGUGGAGCUGUGAUGACCACAGAGACGACCGAGCUGGAGAGCACUGGAGAAGGAAACCCAGCAGGCAUGCUGUGAGGAGGUCCAAGAAGCCACGUGGAAAGUCCAAAUGGAAGACAAUUCAGGAUCUAGGACCCUCGUUCCAGCUGCGUUUCUGCCAAUGGCACCAACCUGCCAGAUAAGAAAUCUGAGGGAGAGAGACACAAAUCUCAUUCCGUGGCUCACAUCUUGAGAGACUCUUGCGAUUGGAGGCUAUCCUCACAUCUCUGCCAUCUGCUCUGCCUAAAACGAGAUACCCUCCACUCCCAAGAACCUCACAGGAAGAAAUACAGGAAAAGAUGGAGUUCAGUCACUUGGGUGUCUAUUACUAACAGAUAUCCUCACAGGUUCCAUCGCUGCCUCUCAGAACUGCCCACAACCCAUACUGGCGUCCUCUGUCUCUACGGAGUCCUCACUAUUACUAUGACUAUGUUCAUCUCAGUUAAGGCUUUCUUUUAGCUAAACUUGUUCAGAAAUCUGGUCUGAUUACAAUUGGCCAAACAAUGAUAAAUACUCCUGCCAACUGUCAGUCUCUUAACAGUCAAGGACCAACUACUUAUCUGUAGGCAUCAACUAUCCCCACUAACAAUACUUUCACUUCAGAUACAGAAGACACCCACCCAACUAGUUCAUAUAUGUUCAGUGACAGAGCCGCUUUGAACAAGGACCCAGGGGUCUGGCGAGUGCCGAAACGUUACCCCUGUCGCUCUUUCAAAGGCCGCUUCUUAUCUUUCAACUUAAGGAUCAAGCACUUUCCCACUUCACUGCCUUUUAACAAUAGUCAUACAUGAUUCCCUCAGACCAUAGACCACGGGAUUCUAACUCCCUUAUGCUAGAGAAUUCCUGUCCGCAACUAUGAUUGGGAUGGAAACACAAUUAUAGUAUUUCCAAGUGGCACCACAGCAACCUGAAGGACAGGAAAACCAGGAAACCUAGUAUUUUUUCCAUCACUGCACUCAGUGGACCAGAGCCCUUCACCAAUCCCAAGAGUGGGAAUCAGCAUGCAAGAUAUUUGGUUUCAAACCAAAUGGUUACGCUACCUUCAGUGCACUCCACUGCCUCAUUUGUUCUUCCUUGUUCCAGAGAAAACAAACAUGAAUAUAUUGUAAUUCAUGAUCUUAGGAAGGGCAGCCGUCAAGCAAACAGAGAUAAAUAGCAUAGAAAUAUGUUGGCAAACCAACAUACGCAUCAGUAUCUCCUACUAUUAACAACGUAACUAUAAAUGCACUAAGUUUACAUAGAACAAACUCCCAAAUCAUGCACUUCAUA